CCACCGCCAGCUGCCACCUUCACAAUCUCAGGACAUUGGAUAUGAUCCGAACUUCGUACCCGACUCUGUGAAGUCAUUCGUUGUUCACCUCUACCGUCACAUCCGAGAGAAGAAUGUGUACGAGAUUCACCAGAUGUACGAGAACUCCUUCCAGACCCUCUCGGAGCGUCUCUUCAAGGACACUCCCUGGCCCUCUGUCGACGCCGUCUCUAUCUACGUCGACAAUGACCAUGUCUUCUGCCUCCUAUACCGUGAGAUGUGGUUUCGUCACCUCUACGCUAGGCUCACUCCAACUCUCAAGCAGAGGAUAGAUUCCUGGGACAAUUAUUGUAGCCUUUUUCAGGUUGUGUUGCAUGGUGUUGUCAAUAUGCAGCUACCCAACCAAUGGUUGUGGGACAUGGUGGAUGAGUUUGUGUACCAGUUUCAGAGCUUCUGUCAGUACAGAGCAAAGAUGAAGAAUAAAACCGAACAUGAAAUUGCGAUCUUGAAGCAGUAUGAUCAGGCUUGGAACGUGUAUGGCCUUCUCAACUUCUUGCAAGCCCUUGUUGAGAAGUCUUCGAUCACUCAAAUUCUUGAGCGUGAGAAGGAAGGCCUAGAACAGUUUACGGCUACUGAUGGGUAUAGCUACGACGGAGGAAGUAAUGUCUUGAAGGUUUUGGGGUAUUUCAGCAUGAUUGCUCUACUGCGAGUUCAUUGUCUUUUGGGAGAUUAUCAAACUGGUCUAAAGUGCCUCCUUCCUGUUGAUAUUAGUCAACAAGGAGUUUACACCAGUGUUAUUGGAAGCCACAUUGCCACCAUCUAUCAUUAUGGUUUUGCCAAUCUUAUGUUGCGGAGAUAUGUGGAAGCAAUUUAUGAAUUUAACAAAAUUCUCUUGUACAUCUACAAGACAAAGCAAUAUCAUCAGAAAUCUCCACAGUAUGAGCAAAUACUAAAGAAGAAUGAGCAAAUGUAUGCCUUGCUGGCAAUCUGCCUUUCACUCUGCCCGCAAAACCAGUUGGUUGAUGAAACAGUGAGCUCUCAGUUACGGGAAAAGUACGGUGAAAAAAUGAUUAGAAUGCAAAGAUAUGAUGAUGAGGCAUUUGCUAUCUAUGAUGAGCUCUUCUCAUAUGCUUGUCCCAAGUUCAUUACCCCUUCAGCACCUAGUUUUGAGGAGCCUCUAGUAAAUUACAACCAGGAUGCCUAUAGACUUCAGUUGAAAUUGUUCCUUUAUGAAGUGAAGCAGCAACAAUUGUUAUCAGGUGUCCGGACUUUUUUGAAAGUGUAUUCAUCAAUCUCUCUAGCGAAAUUAGCAAGUUACAUGGAAGUGGAUGAAGCCACUUUAAGGUCAAUUUUGUUGACGUACAAGCAUAAGACGCAUGCCGUUGAUAGUGACAAGAAAAUUGUAUCUAAUGCUGAUAUAGAUUUCUACAUUGAUGACGACUAUAUUCAUGUUGUAGAGCCCAAGUUACCCAAGCGAUAUAGUGAUUAUUUCUUGCGGCAGAUUGUCAAGCUUGAGGGGGUUAUCAAUGAGAUGGACGAUAUAAAACUUGACUAAGUUGCGUUUUGUUCUAUUCCAAUGACUUGUUUUCCUGAUUGAUUCGUUCUCCUUUCUAUUUGCUUUAUAGAUGGUUAGUCUGGAGUUGUUCGUCUUUUUGACAUUUGGUGAAAACUUGGAAGCUUACGGGCUAAUGGCUGUGUGGGUUGCGGUUUAUACCUGAUGCCUGAUAGUCAAAUCCCCCGUACGGGAUUAGAAAAGUUCUCGAGCAAUUGUGCUCACUCCUCAGGUGUUUAAUAUGUUCAGGGCCGAAUGGAUAGAUGAUUUGGCAUGGGGGCAGGACAGUGUCUAGAUGUGGCAAUUGCUCUUGGCUAGGGAAGCUACAUGUGGCGCCUAUCUGACAGUUUAAUUA